GACGAACGCUGGCGGCGUGCUUAACACAUGCAAGUCGAACGGAAGGGCCCUGCUUUUGUGGGGUGCUCGAGUGGCGAACGGGUGAGUAACACGUGAGUAACCUGCCCUUGACUUUGGGAUAACUUCAGGAAACUGGGGCUAAUACCGGAUAGGAGCUCCUGCUGCAUGGUGGGGGUUGGAAAGUUUCGGCGGUUGGGGAUGGACUCGCGGCUUAUCAGCUUGUUGGUGGGGUAGUGGCUUACCAAGGCUUUGACGGGUAGCCGGCCUGAGAGGGUGACCGGCCACAUUGGGACUGAGAUACGGCCCAGACUCCUACGGGAGGCAGCAGUGGGGAAUAUUGCACAAUGGGCGGAAGCCUGAUGCAGCAACGCCGCGUGCGGGAUGACGGCCUUCGGGUUGUAAACCACUUUCGCCUGUGACGAAGCGUGAGUGACGGUAAUGGGUAAAGAAGCACCGGCUAACUACGUG
rnacentral:rRNA from 1 species